rnacentral:precursor_RNA from 10 species
GUGAUGGAAUCGCCUGUGCAGUCGGCCGUUACACUUGUAGAUUUGACUCAAACCUGUGGUCCGUAAAGGUGAGCAAAUCUUCAGGUGUGCCUGCUCGACCCCAUUCUCAUCCAGGUGAUG